ACACCUCAACUCCCAUGGCUUGCCAUGAUGAGCUUGGACUCUGGGGGUCUUGCCGGCUGUGUAGUCGGCUCCUCUCAAAUGAAUCAGCUUACCAGUGUUUGGUGGCAUCACAGGUGUGAUAACUAUCUACGCUUGCGGUUUUCCACCAGGUAACCUUCAGUGAUGGAGGUUCGCUGGAGCUCACAAAUGUCUCUCCUUGCGAGGACGAUUUCUGAAC
rnacentral:misc_RNA from 1 species